UACAGAGGUCUCAAGCGUUGUUCGGAUUCAUUGGGCGUAAAGGGCGCGUAGGCGGCGGGGUAAGUCGGGUGUGAAAUCUCAGAGCUCAACUCUGAAACUGCACUCGAUACUGCUCUGCUUGAGGACUGGAGAGGAGACUGGAAUUCACGGUGUAGCAGUGAAAUGCGUAGAUAUCGUGAGGAACACCAGUGGCGAAGGCGGCUCACUGGACCGGUACUGACGCUGAUGCGCGAAAGCGUGGGGAGCAAACGGG
rnacentral:rRNA from 1 species